CCACAUACUGAAUCUGAAACCAGUCUGGGCUGUGUGAAAUGUCUCAAAAGCAAACAGACGGAGUUGACAGUGUCAGCGCCUAAGAACUUCAUUACUGGGUCAGGGUCUCUGCCUGGAACUCAGAGAUCCGUUCCCCUCAGAGCUGGGAUUAAAGGUAUGUGCCACCACGCCCACCCAGGUAAAACUUUUUUUUUUUUUCUUUUGGCAUAAAGCAGUUGUUUCUGGGUUUGGCCUCACAAAGCAUCCACUUUAGAGCUUCGAUGUAUUCCAAAUGCAACGAUGUCACUAGCGAGUGACCGGGAUGCCCUAAACUGUAUAUGCUCCGCAAGACGG
rnacentral:lncRNA from 1 species